UAGGGAAUCUUCCGCAAUGGGCGAAAGCCUGACGGAGCAACGCCGCGUGAGUGAUGAAGGUCUUCGGAUCGUAAAACUCUGUUAUUAGGGAAGAACAAAUGUGUAAGUAACGAUGCACAUCUUGAUGGUACCUAAUCAGAAAGCCACGGCUAACUACGUGCCAGCAGCCGCGGUAAUACGUAGGUGGCAAGCGUUAUCCGGAUUUAUUGGGAGUAAAGCGAGCGCAGGCGGUCAAUUAAGUCUGAUGUGAAAGCCCCCGGCUCAAACGGGGAGUGUCAUAAGAAACUGGUUGACUUGAGUGCAGAAGAGGAGAGUGGAAUUCCAUGUGUAGCGGUUAAAUGCGUAGAUAUAUGGAGGAACACCAGUGGCGAUGGCGACUCUCUGGUCUUUAACUAACGCAGAGGCUCGAAAGCGUGGGUAGCAAACAGG
rnacentral:rRNA from 1 species